rnacentral:rRNA from 1 species
UGGGUAAACCUGCCCAAGAGAUCGGGGAUAACACCUGGGAAACAGAUGCUAAUACCCGGAUAACAACAGAUGAUGCCUAUCAACUGUUUAAAGAUGGUUCUGCUAUCACUCUUGGAUGGACCUGCGGUGCAUUAGCUAGUUGGUAGGGGUAACGGGCCUACCCAAGGCGAUGAUGCAUAGCCCGAGUUGAGAGACUGAUCGGGCCACAUUGGGGACUGAGACACGGCCCAAAACUCCUACGGGAGGCAGCAGUAGGGAAUCUUCCACAAUGGACGCAAGUCUGAUGGAGCAACGCCGCGUGAGUGAAGAAGGGUUUCGGCUCGUAAAAGCUCUGUUGUUGGUGAAGAAGGACAGGGGUAGUAACUGACCUUUGUUUGACGGUAAUCAAUUAGAAAGUCACGGCUAACUACGUGCCACAGCCGCGGUAAU